rnacentral:rRNA from 1 species
UGCGGAGGGUGCGAGCGUUGUUCGGAAUCACUGGGCGUAAAGGGCGUGUAGGCGGUCCGCUAAGUCUGAUGUGAAAGCCCGGGGCUCACCCCCGGAAGUGCAUUGGAAACUGGCGAACUCGAGUCCCGGAGAGGAGAGUGGAAUUCCUGGUGUAGCGGUGAAAUGCGUAGAUAUCAGGAGGAACACCGGUGGCGAAGGCGGCUCUCUGGACGGUGACUGACGCUGAGACGCGAAAGCGUGGGGAGCAAACAGG